GACGAACGCUGGCGGCGUGCUUAACACAUGCAAGUCGAGCGGUAAGGCCCUUUCGGGGGUACACGAGCGGCGAACGGGUGAGUAACACGUGGGUGACCUGCCCUCAGCUCUGGGAUAAGCCCGGGAAACUGGGUCUAAUACCGGAUAUGACUCCAUGACGCAUGUUGUGGGGUGGAAAGCCUUGUGCGGCUGAGGAUGGGCCCGCGGCCUAUCAGCUUGUUGGUGGGGUGAGGCCUACCAAGGCGACGACGGGUAGCCGGCCUGAGAGGGCGACCGGCCACACUGGGACUGAGACACGGCCCAGACUCCGUACGGGAGGCAGCAGUGGGGAAUCUUGCGCAAUGGGCGAAAGCCUGACGCAGCGACGCCGCGUGAGGGAUGACGGCCUCGGUUGUAA
rnacentral:rRNA from 1 species